rnacentral:rRNA from 1 species
UACGAAGGGGGCUAGCGUUGUUCGGAAUCACUGGGCGUAAAGCGCGCGUAGGCGGCCAGAUAAGUCCGCUGUGAAAUCUCGAGGCUCAACUUCGAGCUGUCGGUGGAAACUAUCUGGCUAGAGUCCGGAAGAGGAGAAUGGAAUUCCUGGUGUAGCGGUGAAAUGCGCAGAUAUCAGGAAGAACACCCGUGGCGAAGGCGGCUCUCUGGGACGGUACUGACGCUGAGACGCGAAAGCGUGGGGAGCGAACAGG